rnacentral:rRNA from 1 species
CCUACGGGAGGCAGCAGUGAGGAAUAUUGGUCAAUGGACGAGAGUCUGAACCAGCCAAGUAGCGUGAAGGAUGACUGCCCUAUGGGUUGUAAACUUCUUUUAUAUGGGAAUAAAAUGUUCCCCGUUUGGGAUUUUGUAUGUACCAUAUGCAUAAGGAUCGGCUCACUCCGUGCCAGCAGCCGCGGUAAUACGGAGGAUCCGAGCGUUAUCCGGAUUUAUUGGGUUUAAAGGGAGCGUAGGUGGAUUGUUAAGUCAGUUGUGAAAGUUUGCGGCUCAACCGUAAAAUUGCAGUUGAAACUGGCAGUAUUGAGGACAGGAGAGGUGGGCGGAAUUCGUGGUGUAGCGGUGAAAUGCUUAGAUAUCACGAAGAACUCCGAUUGCGAAGGCAGUUCACUGGACUGCAACUGACACUGAGGCUCGAAAGUGUGGGUAUCAAACAGGAUUAGAUACCCCUGUAGUC